UACGUAGGGCGCAAGCGUUGUCCGGAAUUAUUGGGCGUAAAGAGCUCGUAGGCGGUCUGUCGCGUCUGUUGUGAAAACUCGAGGCUCAACCUCGGGCUUGCAGUGGAUACGGGCAGACUAGAGUGCGGUAGGGGAGACUGGAAUUCCUGGUGUAGCGGUGAAAUGCGCAGAUAUCAGGAGGAACACCGGUGGCGAAGGCGGGUCUCUGGGCCGUAACUGACGCUGAGGAGCGAAAGCGUGGGGAGCGAACAGG
rnacentral:rRNA from 1 species